CACCUACGGGGCGCAGCAGUGGGGAAUAUUGCACAAUGGGGGAAACCCUGAUGCAGCAACGCCGCGUGAGUGAAGAAGUAUUUCGGUAUGUAAAGCUCUAUCAGCAGGGAAGAAAAUGACGGUACCUGAGUAAGAAGCCCCGGCUAACUACGUGCCAGCAGCCGCGGUAAUACGUAGGGGGCAAGCGUUAUCCGGAAUUACUGGGUGUAAAGGGAGCGUAGACGAUGAUGUAAGUCUGGAGUGAAAGGCGGGGGCCCAACCCCCGGACUGCUCUGGAAACUAUGUGACUGGAGUGCAGGAGAGGG
rnacentral:rRNA from 1 species